CUACCCAAUGCAUUCCUAUAUCCUCUCUCAGCUUCAAAUAUUAUUGCACUUCUCAGGCAUUUCUCACUGAAACACUGCACAAAAAGGCAAACUUGUUUAUUUUUCUUACAAUCAAUCUAAGGCAGAAUUUUAAAAAUUAAGUUAGUCUAAGGAGUAUCAAAAGUAACUUACCCAGAUUGCUAUAAAUUUAUAUAUAUUACAAAAAAAAAGGAGAGAGAGAGAGAGGGUAACUUAUCCAUUAUAAAUUAUAAUCCCAAGAGUCUCUCUUAACAUUUCUUCUGUUGUAUCUUUCUUUUAGUAUAGUUACGCUUCAUAUGCUCAUUAUUUAUCGACUUAUAUAAAACCUUCUUGAUUCAAGAACUCCUAUCAAUAUUUUUAAUCUAGUACUGAUCCAUGCCUUAAUUUUAGUUUCAUUUUCUAAAUACCUAUUUGCUCACAACCCACAAAAUAAUUAUACUACUCCAAGUAACAAUAGGGCGACAAACAAAUCAUCCUGCCAUAACCUCCCCCAUAAAACCCACAAAACGAAUAGUCGGGUAAUCCUCAGGAGGACCAGCAAAUAGAGCGCUCAACCUCAAAGAAAGAAGCUUAAGGAUCUGGAACUCCACAUUCGUAACAUAUUGUCCAUUCCUCGCUCUCCAAAUGGCCCACAAUAAGCAUAAAGAAACUAGAAAGAAUACUAGUGAACAACAGUUGAUCAUUCGAUAUGAAAUACAUGGGGUAGAAGGAGCCAUACUCUAUCCUUUCUUCUAUAAAUAGGUGCUAUGUUGUUAUUCCACCACUCAUUAGGCACUUUUUGGUAUUUACUAACCAAGUCUCUCUUGCAUAACAUAUCACUUGCAAUUACAAGACUCGAUAAGAAUGUUGCCUAACCAAAAACUACUCCAGUUUUCAUCUGUUUUUUAAUGGGUCAUUUACCUUUAUACUCAAGCUUACAAAAGAAACCUUGUUUUCUUUUUUCUUCCAAUGAUCAACAUAUUCUUUUAUAACUAUGCUUCCCAUUACUGCCAAACAUAAUUGAUACAGAUUAAAGGUGGACAAGGUACCAUGCUGCAUGAUUGCACAACUGAGACUGUAAGUGCCAUGCGCUAACUACAUGUAGAUGCCUAGUUGAAGAAUACAACAAACCUGCAAAGCAUCACUUCAUAAUCAUUUACAAGGUCCAUAAAGGAAAGAUAAAACAUAAGCAAUCAAUGUAUCAGAGAUUAGGACCGGAACAACAAAUUAAUCAAGUAAUAAUAUCAUCUUUGUAGUUGGCGCAGUAGUUCAAGGUCACCCUGGGAUGAGUCGUAAACCCGGACAUCUUAGGUUCGACUCCCACUAGUAACAAUUUGCCAAGGCCAGAAAUGGUUCAUGGGGCCACGGGGAUGAGCGCGUAAGCCCGUAUAAAAAGGCAAACACGGGUUUGUGGAGAUUAAUCCGAUUGCGGUUGGGAACUCCCGGUUAUCAAAAGAAAAGGGAAGGGAAGGGAAGGGGAAAGGAUAGUAACAUCAUUCCCUUCAACAAUGUGAGCAACGGGUAAUUCUUUGGGACUAACCCAGAGGAUUGUCAGAAUCUUCAAUGAAUGUUAUCUUCAGAUUCAUUUAUAAUGGGGAAACAGUCCUUUCUAAAUUCCCGUUGGACAAUCAGAUAUAAAGUGUUUAGAUGGAUUGUCGUUUCUAAUAUUUAAAAUAGUAUCCAAGGACAAUUUAAGGAUGAAAAUAUCAUAUGAAAAUGCUGUUUAUAUUAACUCCUUCCAGAGAACUCUAACAUAGAUUAAUCCCAUGAUGCCCUUUUCCCCAUUUCAUUUUUCCAGCAUAAAUUUUAUUUCUUUCUAACAAUUUUCAACUUCCUUGUCAAAAGAUUGACAAUAGUCCAAUAUCACUGCAAACCACUUUUAUCCAAACACAACUUCAAAAAAAUUAAUUUGACUGAAACCAUAUUAUAUUAAUCGAGUACAAAAAACAAAAAAUAAAAAACCGAUUAUGAAAAUGAUUUAAAAGGUUAGAUAGUCCAUCAAACAAGUACAUAGGUAAGGAAUUGGGCAAAGCAAUAUGAUUCCUAUAGAGUAAUCAAUGAUAAUUAAAAGCGAUAAACGAGUAAAUCCUAGUGAUAAACAUGAAAAAGAAAAACUCACAAGGUGGAAUAGAGGUAGUAGUACCAUGAAUAACAGCCAACCGAAGGUGAAGUGAAAUAGUGUCAGCUCUCAACUGACGACAAAAACAGAGCGAAGAUGAUGAAUUCAGUUGGGCGGGAGAGAUUAUUAGGUAUAUACUGUAUACCGUACCCGGAAGGCCGAAAAACAGUGGGCCUGUGGCUGUGGGGG
rnacentral:lncRNA from 1 species